rnacentral:rRNA from 1 species
GAUGAACGCUGGCGGCGUGCCUAAUACAUGCAAGUCGAGCGAACGGACGAGAAGCUUGCUUCUCUGAUGUUAGCGGCGGACGGGUGAGUAACACGUGGAUAACCUACCUAUAAGACUGGGAUAACUUCGGGAAACCGGAGAUAAUACUGGAUAAUAUUUUGAACCGCAUGGUUCAAAAGUGAAAGACAGUCUUGCUGUCACUUAUAGAUGGAUCCGCGCUGCAUUAGCUAGUUGGUAAGGUAACGGCCUACCAAGGCAACGAUGCAUAGCCGACCUGAGAGGGUGAUCGGCCACACUGGAACUGAGACACGGUCCAGACUCCUACGGGAGGCAGCAGUAGGGAAUCUUCCGCAAUGGGCGAAAGCCUGACGGAGCAACGCCGCGUGAGUGAUGAAGGUCUUCGGAUCGUAAAACUCUGUUAUUAGGGAAGAACAUAUGUGUAAGUAACUGUGCACAUCUUGACGGUACCUAAUCAGAAAGCCACGGCUAACUACGUG